GUGUUUUGUAAAAAUAAUGUUACAUAGGGUCUGUUAAUUAGAUUUUUCUACAUAAAUUGUACAAACAAAUUUAAUUGAAUUUGAACCAUGAGUGAAAGUGAUUGAUUUGCUUUUCUUGCAUUGAUUGCUGCUCAAAGUGCAUAAGCUUGUAAUGUUCAGGACUCUUUGUUUAGAAGACAAUGAAUAAUAAAUUUGUUUGACAUGUAGGGACCUUCAGGGGCACGAGGACCAUCAGGGCCACAGGGACCUAAGGGAAGAAGAGGAGAAAGAGGUGAUCCAGGAAAGAAAGGAGUUCCUGGACUCAUUGGUAAAGCUGGAAAUCCAGGAGAAAGAGGAGAACAGGGUGGACUUGUGAGUAUGAAAUUCACUACUACUUCUACCAAAAAAAAUCCAGAAAAUCCCAUACUUUGUUUGACACUUGGGUAUAAGG
rnacentral:lncRNA from 1 species